AUUUGCUCGUGUUGACUGUUGUUAACUUCUCCCCGUAUAGAGCAGCAUUUUUUCUCCCUGCGUGAUUUAGUGUGGAUUUACCCUUUAAUACCAACAGCCCGUUU